rnacentral:rRNA from 1 species
AGCCCCCUCUAGCCCCACCCAACCACUUAUCAAAAACACCCUUAAUCAAACCAAACCAAAACAUUUUCCCAAAGCCCCAGUAUAGGUGAUAGAAAAGGCAACCCCCCCCGAGGCGCAAUAGAGACCACGUACCGCAAGGAAAGAUGAAAUAGCAAUGAAAAUCCAAAGCAACACAAAGCAAAGACAAACCCUUGUACCUCUUGCAUCAUGGUCCAGCCAGAACAACCAAGCAAAACGAACUUAAGCUUGUCCCCCCGAAACCUAAGCGAGCUACUUGCGAGCAGCUACAUACCUGAGCGAACCCAUCUCUGUGGCAAAAGAGUGGGAUGACUUGCUAGUAGAGGUGAGAAGCCUACCGAGCUGGGUGAUAGCUGGUUGCCUGUGAAACGAAUUUAAGUUCCCCCUUAGCCCCCCCCCAACAGCUUCAUAACCUGUCAUGAGAAACCUAAGUGUAAUUUAAAGGGGGUACAGCCCCUUUAAAACAGGACACAACCUCCUCCAGAGGAUAAGAACCAAAUACCUGAAUAGUAGGCCUUUAAGCAGCCACCAACAAAGAGUGCGUCAAAGCUCACCGCCAUAAAAAUCCAACAAACACUACGACUCCCUCCCCACCAACAGGCCAAUCUAUACAUAUAGAAGAAUCAAUGCUAGAAUGAGUAAUCUGGGUCCCCCCUCUUAAGCGCAAACUUACCCUCAGAGAAUUAACAGAAAGCCAAAUACAUUGACCAACACAAGAACCACAUAUCAACUCACCCUGUUAACCCAACCCAGGAGCGCCCACUAGAAGGAUUAAAAUCUGUAAAAGGAACUAGGCAAACCAAAGACCCGACUGUUUACCAAAAACAUAGCCUUCAGCAUACCAAGUAUUGAAGGUGACGCCUGCCCAGUGACACCACGUUUAACGGCCGCGGUAUCCUAACCGUGCGAAGGUAGCGCAAUCAAUUGUCCCAUAAAUCGAGACCUGUAUGAAUGGCUAAACGAGGUCUUAACUGUCUCUUACAGAUAAUCGAUGAAAUUGAUCUCCUCGUGCAAAAGCGAGGAUAAUCCCAUAAGACGAGAAGACCCUGUGGAACUUUCAAAAUCAAUGGCCAACACACACCAAACCCCUCCCUAGGGGCCACCGACAUAACACUGCACUGGCCAUAAUUUUUCGGUUGGGGCGACCUUGGAGAAAAACAAACCCUCCAAAACAAAGACCACACCUCUUAACCAAGAACAACACCUCAACGUGCUAACAGCAACCUGACCCAAUACCAAUUGAGCAAUGAACCAAGCUACCCCAGGGAUAACAGCGCAAUCCCCUCCAAGAGCCCAUAUCGACGAGGAGGUUUACGACCUCGAUGUUGGAUCAGGACAUCCUAGUGGUGCAGCCGCUACUAAGGGUUCGUUUGUUCAACGAUUAACAGUCCUACGUGAUCUGAGUUCAGACCGGAGCAAUCCAGGUCGGUUUCUAUCUAUGACCCCAGACCCCCCCUAGUACGAAAGGACCGGAGGAGCGGGGCCAAUACCCCACAGCACGCCCCCAAAAAAACAAUGAACACAACUCAAUUAUAAAUAACCCCAUUAGCCCUAGAUAAGGGCA